rnacentral:rRNA from 1 species
GACGAACGCUGGCGGCGUGCUUAACACAUGCAAGUCGAACGGAAAGGCCCUGCUUUUGUGGGGUGCUCGAGUGGCGAACGGGUGAGUAACACGUGAGUAACCUGCCCUUGACUUUGGGAUAACUUCAGGAAACUGGGGCUCAUACCGGAUAGGAGCUCCUGCUGCAUGGUGGGGGUUGGAAAGUUUCGGCGGUUGGGGAUGGACUCGCGGCUUAUCAGCUUGUUGGUGGGGUAGUGGCUUACCAAGGCUUUGACGGGUAGCCGGCCUGAGAGGGUGACCGGCCACAUUGGGACUGAGAUACGGCCCAGACUCCUACGGGAGGCAGCAGUGGGGAAUAUUGCACAAUGGGCGGAAGCCUGAUGCAGCAACGCCGCGUGCUGGAUGACGGCCUUCGGGUUGUAAACCGCUUUCGCCUGUGACGAAGCGUGAGUGACGGUAAUGGGUAAAGAAGCACCGGCUAACUACGUG